UUGAGAUGAAGUAUAUUACGAAGAGAAAAGAAAAUCGUUCAAAGGGCAUGAGGAAAGAAAGAAAGAAAGAAAACAAAAGAAGGGGAGUUCUAGUUGUUGAAAUAUGGAUUUGAUGGUGUUGAUUAAGUAUAGAGAUCAUGAUGGAUUAUUUAUUUAUGAUGGUAGAGAUGGAUGAUGCAAACAUGUUAAACAAUCAAGUUUCAGAGACAGACCAGAGUUGCGCAGCGAAAUCUCCGAGAAGUUGACUUCUUUAGUUGGUUAUAAUCUGAUAUGUUUAUUAUGUUGUAUAUUCUAUUUGUAAACCAAAUGACUAUUGUAUAUGUAUCAUUUGAGAAAAGAUCUUGUAUAUAUAUUUCUGAGCGGGGUUAGUUUUGGGUU